rnacentral:lncRNA from 1 species
UUUAAAUGGUAAAUUGCUAUAUUUUAGGAGAAAUUGUGAUUUUAUAAAAUAAUUUUAUAAAUUUUCUGAAAAAUUGAAUACUGGUUUUGAAAAUAGAGUAAUUGGAGACUGCCUGCUUGUGUUGUAAAUUUAUGGUUUUAAAUUGAAUGGCUUAUGAUAAUAUAUGAGCAUGAAUGGCUAAAUUGAUUUUUUGUGUUAAAAUUAUUUGUACUGUGUAUUCAGCCUUAAGAGGCUAGGUUGCGAUAAAUUGCCAUGUCAUGCAGAAAAAGAUUUUAUAAAACAGGUGGUAGAUAAUAUAAUCCAUAGUCACUGCAGUGGUGGGGGUUUCCGUGGACUCCCUAUGAGAGGGGCACGGUAACCCAAUUAUAUAUUUACCUCCGGGGGGAGAUGUUGGAUGAAGUAUCUCCUGAGGUAAAGAUUUGAGUGCACUUCAUGUGGACCACCGCGUUAGAGUAGGACUCAGCCAAUGCCAAGGUAUGGCUAAAAUUUCGGAUGUAAAGACAUUUAACAGCCUUGGCGGACUUGGUUGGGAUAACCCUCGAUCAAGGUAUCCCUGAUAACUGAGUAUAAGAAUGAUUUUUGGCACAAGCCAAGCUUUUCAGGAAAUCAUAAGCCUAGUUGUUUAUUUGGUUGAAAUAAGUUGAAAGGUAAUGAAAUUACAGUAUGAUGAUUUAUUUUAAUUGUCUCCAUUUACUCGGCUUUA